rnacentral:sRNA from 1 species
AUGAUCGGCCGUUUUUCCAUCCGGCCUUCGGCGCU